rnacentral:rRNA from 1 species
AGAGUUGAUCAUGGCUCAGGACGAACGCUGGCGGUAUGCCUCACACAUGCAAGUCGAGCGGUAAGCAGUAGCAAUACUGCCUAGAGCGGCGGACGGGUGAGUAAUGUAUGAACAAUCUGCCCUAUACUACAGGAUAACAUUCAGAAAUGGAUGCUAAUACUGUAUAAGACCACAUCAAGGCAUCUUGGAGUGGUAAAAGAAUUUCGGUAUAGGAUGAGUUCAUAUCCCAUUAGCUAGUUGGUAGGGUAAAAGCCUACCAAGGCCGCGAUGGGUAGCCGACCUGAGAGGGUGAACGGCCACACUGGAAUUGAGAAACGGUCCAGACUCCUACGGGAGGCAGCAGUGGGGAAUAUUGGGCAAUGGAGGGAACUCUUACCCAGCAAUACCGCGUGAAGGAAGAAGGUUUUCGGAUUGUAAACUUCUGUUAUAGGUGACGAAGAAUGACGGUAGCCUAUAAGGAAGCCCCGGCAAACUAUGUGCCAGCCGCCGC